UACAGUAGCAAUUAAGAGAUUGUUAUAUGAUUAUAUAAUCCACUUGUUCACUUUGGAUCCAUCCACUUGAUGUCUUUGGAUCCAUCCACUUAAAUCUAAUCCACUUUUUCCAUCCACUGAUAUAAUGACUCGUUAUGAUAGGCACACUUGUCGAAUGAUAGGCAUAUUUGUGUGACGUCUCAACAUCAUUAUCAUAACUCAUUGUCAUAUUAUCAUAACUCAUCAUCUAGCAUGUCAUAAAUUAUCAACACUAACUAAUUAUUAUCGUUCUAGCACAUGAUGAAUAUAAGCUAGAAUCUAGUGCUUUCUCCGAGAUAAAGUAGCACACUUGCUCUUAUUUAUGCACGCCCAUCUUAGGGCGCUGGCGAAGCUAUAUGUUAUAAAUGGGCCAUGGCCCACCCAACAUCCAGCGAACAAAUACAAUGUGUUAUCGUGAGUAAAAUGGGAUAUGCGAGAAAAAUAAUAUGCCUUCUUUUGUAUUGGCCUGCCCAAUUUUGGUUGUGUAACUCCACCACCGCUUACAGGCCCUAGCAAAAUUUGUAGAACACGGUAAGGGCAACCCUUCUUUUGCAAAAUUGACAGAGAUAAUAGAAUAAAAAAUGGGAGGUAAUUGGUGAAUGUCAAAAAACAGGAUACCAAAAUUGACUAUGGCCGAAGAGGGAAAUGAUCUGCUUCUAAGUGUGAAAUAUCUGUUAAAAAGUAGGAUCUCCUAUUGAACAUAUCAGAAAUUGCCUUCAUUAUUAUCCGACACUUUUAAGUAUGAUUUUCAAAUUUUCCAAAAUUGUGGGCCCUAAACGCCCGGCCCACCCUCCAAACAACUAAAAGAACUCGUUAGCAGAAGCAUGCAUCAAUGUCGAUUGGGGCUGGUGGUGGUGCCAUGGGUUACUUCUGGUGUCCGAUGUACUUCACUAUUUUAGACAAAAUUUAAAGAAUCCGAAGGGCUUCGGAAAUGCUAUAAAGCCAGAAUGCAGCAAUGGCCUGAGGACGUUAACAGACACUCUUAUUUUAAUACAACCCCCUAAACACAUGAACAGAGAAGAUCUCAUCAUAUUCCUUCAUCAUAAAGGGUAUGAUGGUCUUUCUCGAAAAUACGUCGCCCGCCCUUAAAAAUAGAAAUGGCCCAGGGGAGUCCACCAUGGCCCGGCCUUGUAGUGAGUGUGUACUGUAGCAUGAGAUUGAAUUUUGAGAAUAAAUUUUAAAACUGAGAACAAAUUUGGAAAUGCAAACUUUUUUUGAAUCUUGAAUACAAAUUUUGAAACCGAGAACAAUUUUGAAAGAUGGUGAACAAAUUUGGAAGCGCGAA
rnacentral:lncRNA from 1 species